GACAGCUGCGUCUGCUGGCUCUUCCAGUUGGUGCUGUUGGACCGGCCCCCUCAAAGCUCUUAACACUGGGCAGUAAUAAAGCGCGAUUGAACGUUCUCCUUCUGUUCUUCAUGUUCAUGCAAUUACAUCCGGACGAUUCCUUUAUCCGUAAGCACACAGCAUCAUCGACAUCUAGUGAUCAGGAGACACACAAACGCAAAUCCUGAGGCGGAAAAUAAAAAACAAAAAACAAAAAUAAAAUGAAAAUAAAAGAAAUAAUACGAACAAAAAUAAAAUAAAUCCCCACCUUAAUCAAGAUUAUGCAGUAUUAAGAAUUAUCCGAAUCCUCCUUCACUUUAAAAUAAAAGUGUAACAUUGCAACACUGCAAAACUGCGAGCGAUUUUAGUGUGAACAGUGAACAGUGAGAACAAGUUGGUAUCCUUCGGUCCUUCCAACAGACUCCCGAAAUAAGCUUCCGUCGUCGUGACUUUUCAAGAAAGCUGAUGAUCAUAUUAGAAUGAUUUAACUUUCGAGUGUGACAAUCCCCAAACAGUAAAUGGAUCAAUCGACACAAUUAACUUUUACUGCUUCGAGUUACGCCAUUUUUAUUCUAUUCUGUGUCUGAGUGUCUCAACGAUUCCACGUGUGUGGUCUGCUGCGCGCCCAAAGUCUCGACAGCAGCAAAAUGCAAGUGCUCCGUGAUUUUAUCGUAUCCAAAAUAUGAAAAUUAUUUGUUAGCUGCUUAGACUGUCUUGUGAUUGGAAAAAUGACGACACGCCUGGCAUCGAAAACAAGUGGACGCGUCGUGGAUGAGAUUUCGUCGUCAUCACGAAUCCAGGAGACGGUUGGGUGCGGUAAUUGGAGGUAUUGUCGAGUUUAUUGCCUGCGCCACUGGACUUGAAACUGUUUGGAUUUUGU